rnacentral:rRNA from 1 species
GAGUUUGAUCCUGGCUCAGGAUGAACGCUGGCGGCGUGCCUAACACAUGCAAGUCGAGCGAUAAUUAGAGGACGGAGACUUCGGUUGAUGAAAUCUGAGGAAAGCGGCGGACGGGUGAGUAACGCGUGGGCAACCUGCCCUAUGGAGGGGAAUAACGCAGAGAAAUUUGCGCUAAUACCGCAUAAGCACACAGGAUCACAUGAUCUAGGGUGAAAAACUCCGGUGCCAUAGGAUGGACCCGCGUCUGAUUAGCUAGUUGGUGAGGUAAUGGCUCACCAAGGCGACGAUCAGUAGCCGACCUGAGAGGGUGAUCGGCCACAUUGGGACUGAGACAC